rnacentral:lncRNA from 1 species
GUGGAUAGUGCGGGGUCCCGCACGCCGGCGCGGAGGGUCCGUGUCAAGAGCGGCAGAGGCUGCUCGAAGGCGAGAAAAGCGUGUGCGGAGGGAAAGUAAAGCGGGAGCGCGCAGAAUCGAGCUGACGGAAGUCUAGUGCCCACUCCCCCCUUCAAUACUGGUCUGUGGUGGCCUCAGAGGCCAGGUUCCCGAGUGCCCAUUCUCUUGCAGGUCCCUGAGCAGAGCGGCUGGGACAGGCCCAGAGAUGUGGGAUCAUGAAAGCCUGAGGGUAAACUUGGACCUGCGAUUUGCCUGACAGACUGCUGAGCAGUGGAGCGAGAGCGAGCAGGGGUCUCCCAAGACAGUGCGUGCUCCUUAGGCGUCUGCUGUGCACCACUGGCCUCUGCCCACUUGCUCC